AGAAUCAACGCUGGCGGCGUGCCUAACACAUGCAAGUCGAACGCGAAGGUGGAGCAAUCCAUGAGUAGAGUGGCAAACGGGUGAGUAACACGUGGGUGACCUGCCUUCGAGCGGGGAUAACGUCCCGAAAGGGACGCUAAUACCGCAUAACAUCCUGCCUUUUAAGAGGUGGAGAUCAAAGCCGGGGAUCGCAAGACCUGGCACUUGAAGAGGGGCCCGCGCCUGAUUAGCUAGUUGGUGGGUAAUGGCUCACCAAGGCAACGAUCAGUA
rnacentral:rRNA from 1 species